GACGAACGCUGGCGGCGUGCUUAACACAUGCAAGUCGAACGGAAAGGCCCUGCUUGUGUGGGGUUCUCGAGUGGCGAACGGGUGAGUAACACGUGAGUAACCUGCCCUUGACUUUGGGAUAACUUCAGGCAACUGGGGCUAAUACCUGAUAGGAGCGCCUGCUGCAUGGUGGGGGUUGGAAAGUUUCGGCGGUUGGGGAUGGAUUCGCGGCUUAUCAGCUUGUGGGUGGGGUAGUGGCUUACCAAGGCAUUGACGGGUAGCCGGCCUGGGAGGGUGAACGGCCACAUUAGGACUGCGAUACGGCCCAGACUCCUACGGGAGGCAGUAGUCGGAAGUAUUGUACAAUGGGCGGGAGCCUGAGGAAACAACGUUGCGUGCGUGAAGACGGCUUUGGGGUUGUAAACCGCAUUAACCUGUGACCAAGCGUGAGUGACGGUAAUAGGUAAAGAAGCACCGGCUAACUACGUG
rnacentral:rRNA from 1 species